GAUGAACGCUGGCGGCGUGCCUAACACAUGCAAGUCGAACGGACAGGCGAGGAGCUUGCUCUUCUCAGGUUAGCGGCGGACGGGUGAGUAACCCGUGGGUAACCUGCCUUUGAGACUGGGAUAACUUCGGGAAACCGGAGCUAAUACCGGAUAAUAUAUUGAACCGCAUGGUUCUAUAGUGAAAGAGGUUUUUGCUCUCCCGUAUAGAUGGAUGCGCGCCGCAUUAGUUAGUGCGUAAGGUAACGGCUUACCAAGGCAACGAUGCGUAGCCGACCUGAGAGGGUGAACAGCCACACUGGAACUGAGACACGGCCCAGACUCCUACGGGAGGCAGCAGUAGGGAAUCUUGCGCAAUGGGGGAAAGCCUGAUGGAGCAACGCCGCGUGAGUGAUGAAGGACUUCGGGUCGUAAAACGCUGUUGUUAGGGAAGAACUAAUCUGCAAUCAUCCAUGCAGGUCAUGACGGUACCUAAUCAGAAAGCAACGGCUAACUACGUG
rnacentral:rRNA from 1 species